AGAGAGAGAGAGAGAGAGAGGGAGAGAAUCUGUAGCACCAUAAAAAAUUGUGGACGUGCAGGAACAGGAGGAACUACUUUUUUAGCUCACGAUUAUAAGUGAAUCUAUUGUGCAUUAAAAUUUGGCAUGGUUUGUGGAGAAACCAAAGGAAUUUACUAGCAGCAAAACAAAGUAAAAGCAUAUUCUCCGAGCUGUCCGAGCACCACACAAUGCAUGCGAGAUUCACCAACUGAUACAUUACCUUUGCAUCUUGGCAGAAAUGCUUUUAAAUAUAAAAAAGUUCAUAAUUACUUUUACUUGCUAAUAUUCUAAUGAAAUGUUUCUAAGUCCAUAAGGAUUUGCUAAAGAUGUUACUUAGGAGCAAGUAGAUGCCUGC
rnacentral:lncRNA from 1 species